rnacentral:misc_RNA from 1 species
UUUCCGUAGGUGAACCUGCGGAAGGAUCACUAGUGAUUAAAUCGAGCGUGUCUUCAUUGACCGCUCACCCUUCUCACCAUCCAUAACACCUGUGCACUUGUUGGAUGGUAUAACAUAGCCCUAGUGGUGAAGUUGUCCAUCUAAUUUACACUAAACAAUCCUGUAACAAAUGUAGUCUUAUUAUAACAUAAUAAAACUUUCAACAACGGAUCUCUUGGCUCUC